GUUAAGCGACUAAGCGUACACGGUGGAUGCCCUGGCAGUCAGAGGCGAUGAAGGACGUGCUAAUCUGCGAUAAGCGUCGGUAAGGUGAUAUGAACCGUUAUAACCGGCGAUUUCCGAAUGGGGAAACCCAGUGUGUUUCGACACACUAUCAUUAACUGAAUCCAUAGGUUAAUGAGGCGAACCGGGGGAACUGAAACAUCUAAGUACCCCGAGGAAAAGAAAUCAACCGAGAUUCCCCCAGUAGCGGCGAGCGAACGGGGAGCAGCCCAGAGCCUGAAUCAGUGUGUGUGUUAGUGGAAGCGUCUGGAAAGGCGCGCGAUACAGGGUGACAGCCCCGUACACAAAAAUGCACAUGCUGUGAGCUCGAUGAGUAGGGCGGGACACGUGGUAUCCUGUCUGAAUAUGGGGGGACCAUCCUCCAAGGCUAAAUACUCCUGACUGACCGAUAGUGAACCAGUACCGUGAGGGAAAGGCGAAAAGAACCCCGGCGAGGGGAGUGAAAAAGAACCUGAAACCGUGUACGUACAAGCAGUGGGAGCACGCUUAGGCGUGUGACUGCGUACCUUUUGUAUAAUGGGUCAGCGACUUAUAUUCUGUAGCAAGGUUAACCGAAUAGGGGAGCCGAAGGGAAACCGAGUCUUAACUGGGCGUUAAGUUGCAGGGUAUAGACCCGAAACCCGGUGAUCUAGCCAUGGGCAGGUUGAAGGUUGGGUAACACUAACUGGAGGACCGAACCGACUAAUGUUGAAAAAUUAGCGGAUGACUUGUGGCUGGGGGUGAAAGGCCAAUCAAACCGGGAGAUAGCUGGUUCUCCCCGAAAGCUAUUUAGGUAGCGCCUCGUGAAUUCAUCUCCGGGGGUAGAGCACUGUUUCGGCAAGGGGGUCAUCCCGACUUACCAACCCGAUGCAAACUGCGAAUACCGGAGAAUGUUAUCACGGGAGACACACGGCGGGUGCUAACGUCCGUCGUGAAGAGGGAAACAACCCAGACCGCCAGCUAAGGUCCCAAAGUCAUGGUUAAGUGGGAAACGAUGUGGGAAGGCCCAGACAGCCAGGAUGUUGGCUUAGAAGCAGCCAUCAUUUAAAGAAAGCGUA
rnacentral:rRNA from 1 species